rnacentral:rRNA from 1 species
UACGUAGGCAGCAAGCGUUGUCCGGAUUUAUUGGGCGUAAAGAGCGUGUAGGCGGCCAGGUAGGUCCGUUGUGAAAACUCGAGGCUCAACCUCGAGAGGUCGGUUGAAACCGUAAGGCUAGAGUCCGGAAGAGGAGAGUGGAAUUCCCGGUGUAGCGGUGAAAUGCGCAGAUAUCGGGAAGAACACCCGUGGCGAAGGCGGCUCUCUGGGACGGUACUGACGCUGAGACGCGAAAGCGUGGGGAGCGAACAGG